UGCGGGGUAGUAGAAUGGCGCUACGUGGGCUUCAUACGCCUAAAAGGUCCGGUUCGAUUCCGGCCUCCGCUACCA
rnacentral:tRNA from 1 species